CGAAGAAGAAUCCAGCAGGCAGAGGCGUGCCGCCAUCAACAUUGCCUCCAUUUCUUCCUUGUUGUAGUUCUUUAAAUUCGGGUCAAUUAGUUGAUUUCCUUGGCCGCAACUGAGUAGAGGUCUUGCCUAUAAGAUUUCAACUUCCUGAACAAGGUUGUCGGAUGGCGAAUCCGAGCUUAGAAUUUUCACUGCUGCUGCUUGUCCGUCUUCGAGCAUUAAAAGACUUCAAAUGUAGAUUACAUAUGAAGCAUUCCAUCACAGCUUGAAGGGAAAAAAGGAGGGAGGAAGCAGCCUCUGGCUAGAUGGCAAUGAUAAAAUAGAGCAGUACGGUCACCAGCCGAGCUACACCAUUGUUCAUGGUGCACGGGAGUCCCCAAAAGGACAUGAAACUGUCUGGACAGGAAGGGAGAGAGAGAGAGAACGGUUGUAACAGCCCAAGCCCAACCCCACCGUUAGGAGAUAUCGUCUGCUUUAGUCUGUUACUUAUUGCGGCUAGCCUCACGGUUUUCAAACGUGUCUACUAGGGAGAGGGUUUCACACCCUUCUAAGGAAUGUUUUGUUCCCCUCUCCAUCUGACAAUUGUGAGAUCCCACAUCAAUUGGAGUGGGAAACGAAACAUUCCUUAUAAGGGUGUGGAACCUCUCCCUAGCAGACGUGUUUGAAAACCGUGAGGUUGACGACGAUAUAUUAUGGGCCAAUGCGGACAAUAUCUCGACGGUUUGCCAGUGGGGAUGUUGGACUCGAGGGUGGACAUAAAAGGGACAAAUAUCCAAAAAGAAUAAACAAGCCUUUUUGUAAUGGCAUUAUCAUCCAACUGGAGAGGCAAAUCUAGACAGUGCAUCAAUGGCAGUUGUAAUUAAGCCUUUUUUUUCUUUCUUUCUGUAAUGGCAUUAUCAUCAUUGUCUCAUUCAGCCAACACCCUCCAUUAAAAGGGUCCCCCAACAUUCACUCUACAUUGAUAGCACAUUCAUUUCCUCACCUGUUUAGGGAGUGAAGUGCAAAAGUGCUUUUAUUCAUCUUCAAGCAAUAUUACUUGUACAUAUCCAA